UCCUCUGAUGUCUUACCGAAAUUCUUUGCUAGCUGGUGGUGAUGAUGACACCAUGUCAGUCAUUAGUGGAAUGAGCAGUCGGGGAUCAACUGUACGGAGUAAAAAAUCAAAACCAUCUACAGGGAAACGGAAAGUGCUUGAAGGCAUGCAACUAGCACUCCCUGAAGAAAGCAGUAGCAGUGACAGUAUGUGGUUGAGCAGAGAGCAGACACUGCACACCCCUGUUAUGAUGCAGACACCGCAGCUCACCUCCACUAUUAUGAGAGAACCGAAAAGGUUACGGCCUGAAGAUAGCUUCAUGAGUGUCUAUCCGAUGCAGACAGAACACCAUCAAACUCCUCUGGAUUACAAUCAGCGUGGUACAAGCAUAAUGGAGGAUGACGAAGAGCCGAUUGUUGAAGAUGUUAUGAUGUCCUCAGAAGGAAGGAUUGAGGAUCUUAAUGAGGGAAUGGACUUUGACACCAUGGAUAUAGACCUGCCACCAUCAAAGAAUAGAAGAGAGAGAACAGAACUGAAGCCUGAUUUCUUUGAUCCUGCUUCAAUUAUGGAUGAAUCAGUUCUUGGCGUGUCAAUGUUUUAAUACCAGUACACAUUAAAUCUGUGAUGAAGUCAUUUUCUAAGUGGAAGAGGAAAUUUUAAAAUAAAGUGUGGUAGAUACAGUG
rnacentral:lncRNA from 1 species